CACGCAAUAUUCAGGUAAAUGAUGAAAGGCUGCACAGGCGGUUGAGAAACAAUUAUUCUUGUUGUACUGGGAAUUUUCAGAUUUAGCAAGAAGUCAUGAGAUCUUCAGAGAGUCAGUAAAUUUCCACAGAUGGUUUCUGUUCUUCACACCCCCCCUCCCCUUGUAGCAAACCUGGCUGAACCACCAAACAUGUCUCAAUCGGUCUGCAACCUGCUCUGCCGCAGGAGCCCUCGGAAAAUCCCAGGCCAGCAGACACCAGCUGUAUCGGGUUAUGGUAGGUGCCGAUAAAGGCAGCAGUGAUUUGCACCGUCACCAAUUUUCGUGGGAGGGGGUUGAAGUCAACUGCAUGAAACACACCAAAAGCACUGUGCAAAAAAGAGCAUGAGAGAGGGAAAAGGAUAGUCAUGGUUUGCAGGGGAGAUGUAAAUAAGUUCUGAGAUCAGAGGGCCUCGAUACAGAGAAAAAAUGAGAAGUAGAGAGGGGAAGGAAGGUGCGUCAUCAGCUCACAGCAUGAUCUUUCUGGAGUAAAUAAUACAGCUUUAUGUAUGUGAAGUGUGCCUUGCACUUUCCUUCAGGAAGAGCUCCAUAUAGUUAAUAUCCUAGAUGCUGGAUUUCCAUGUUCAUAUAUCUCCUUAUUUCAGUGCUGCUGGCACCUAGAUAUCUGAUUUGAAGUGUCUAAAAACAUCUAAAAUCCUUGCCUCUGACUCUAGUAUUAGUUGUUCCCUGUCAGUGUAUGAACAUGACUAUCUUUCUAUAAAGUAAUAGUUAAUAACAAGCUAAGUAUGUACCACCUAGAGGGGCAUCCACGGAUCACUGAGUAUCAGACUACAAUCAUAUAAGAAAACACGAGAGCUUACUAAAGGCCACUUUUCCAAAAAGCACCUUAAAUUUUGGGCCCUGACAAUGGGUCAGUGCAUAACUCCUCUCUGACUAAAGGCGUGUAACUCUGAUGAGGUGCCUCGAUUUGGAGAAACACAAACAUUUUGAGUGCAGUAUCAGUCAAGAAAUGAUGAAUAAAAUUCAGAGGAACACGCUGCAAUUUAAGGAGGCCAGUAACAAUACAGCAGAAUCAGGCAAAUCCAUCUGAUGAUGAAUUUACUCCAUUGGUUGUAUGGCCUUUAUGUGUCUUCUCUCCAGGACUGUGCCAGGGAAUACGUUAGACAGCAGACUCCAGGCUCGUGCCACUUCUGACUCCCCACUGGCUCACCAAGGCUCAGAUGAUUGACUUGCAUCAAGCUCCUUCGGACGUGAGAAUACAUUUACUCAGAAAGGAGAUCUUGUACAUUCUGUUUUCCAGAAAGAUGAUUAAAAAUGCAAGGUCUGAUGCUAUCAGAAGAUGGAUAUUUUCCUUGUUCAGGGUGCUUUCGGCUUUUCAUACUUCUUGGAAAAGUAGGCACGGUGAGAGCAGAACCACAGGCCCAGCUUUCAGUGCCUGAACACUGAUAAAGGCAACGGUGCUGGGCAUGAGCAUGUAACUGGGAUUAGCAGGUUGGACCACUAUGGAUCAAAGCAUUUAAGACUGCACCUGUAGAGCUGAAUAACUCAAGGAAGUCCAGGGCUAUUGAAAAUGUAUCUUUAGUGUCAAUGACAAUUUUUUUCAUAAGGAUUGGCAAACCUUCUGUGGAUCUCAGCCACACAAUUUCUAGAAGAAACUUUGGAAAUCCUAAACCAGAAAGAAUCACCCCAAAGAAGCUCUGAUGUGGUUUCCUUUGAUGAGAAGGGAUAGGUGCAAGAAUUUCAUCAUUCUCCUGUCUCAGAGACAGGCUCUGUGAUUUUGGACAGCUGCAACAGCCUGGCUCAGCCAUCCACAGGGUGUUUCAAGUUCUCUCUCAGCAGGGCAGAAAGUCUGCCUGAAAAAGAAGCAAUGGGGAAGGAAUCCCCGACAGCCGCUGCCCUAGCCUGAAUGCUACGAGGCUCUUCCAGUCCUGCUCUGUAAACAGGAAUUGCCUUUGGACCCUUAAAAAACACGCACUAUAUCAUUCUAGAAUGGUGUUAAUCUCUCUGUCACGCAGGUCAAAGCAAGCUUUCUAUUAUAAGCUCCAUGAAACACACCUACUUCCCAGCCACUCACUUGCAGGGAACAAAAUCCAGCUGGCCAAAAUGGUCCGUGUGUAACAGGACGCUGGAGUAGGCACUUCAGGCAACGUGGGCAAGGCAUUUUGGAGCUGUGAAAGCUCCGAGCUGGAGGAUGAGCCCUUGGUGAGGCAAUACCAGCUCAGUGCCACAGUCAAGGAAGCAGAAGAGUUUUCUCUUUGCUUCCUCGCAAAGGACAACGGUCUAUUCACAGACAAUGCCAGCUGGAGAGGCCACUGCCUCAUCUCCCACCCAAGGUCCAGCAGCGCCUUGCCGUAGUGCUCCGCACCAGCAACCACGCUCCUUGCCUGCCCCCACCAUGACUUUAUUGUCCCUAGCACCUUUGCAACAGUCCCUUUUCAUCCAUCUCUAUAGCACUAACGACAGGUAGAGCCCAGGUAACCUUAGGCCUUGUGGCAACAAGUGACAACAUCCCAACCUUGGAGUCACACUGGCUGGAGCAAUGAUUGACGUGUCCCAAAGCACAAACACUGACACCUAGGGCGUGGUAAGCUGGGGGUUAGCUGAGGACCCUCAACUUCUCUUUCUUUAACACAUUUUCUGUGUAUUUUCCUAGGGGUCCAGAGUGCACAUUGGCUUUGCUGAUAAACUUAUCAGUAGCAGAGUGAAACAUCCGUUUCAUUUGUACUGUUUACACAGAGCCUGUUUCUCCAGUUGAAGGACCACAGACACAGAAGCGGGUAGGAAUGGCAACAAUCCUCCCAACAAGCCCAGGCACCCACUGGCAGGAGCCGCACCCACCCUUCACCCUCUCGGCAUGUAACGUCAUGCAACCCAGAGCCCAUCUAGAGCAGAACACACAGGAUACAAACAAUUACCUUUCCUCUGCCUAAACUCAGCAAAAGGGAUAUUUUAAAAACUGUUCUUUCCGAAAAGCACAAAGUGACAAAUCAGCUCUGUGCAAAGCCAUCAGAGGUGGAGGGCCCUACAGACAGCUCAUAGGAUGAAGAUUCAGGUUUGAACUUUAUUGUCUUAUUGCACUUGGAGAAUUUCCUGGGUAUUUUCUAGGUUACUUCCUUAUUGCUUUCUGGGUCAACUAGGUCAAAAUGCUUGUCUUGUCUAAACCUCAGUUUGUCAAUAUAUAAAAUGAAGGCAAUGGGACAAGUUGUCCCCUGCUUUUUCUCCAUGGAGUUUGGCCUUAUGAAGAGGCCAUACAAAGCCCCUCUACUUCAUUAGAGUGAGGCAGGCCUUUGAAACCCCCAAAUUCACAACAGCUGAGAAAUGCUGCAUGUUGCUAUAGGCAGUGCAAGAGGAGCACGUGUGAAAUGUAGACAACAACAAGACCGAUUAAAAAAGAUGUGCUCCAGGUUGGGUAGCUUUUUGUCUCUGAGGGCAAAAAAAAAUGUGCAUAAUUUAUAACUUUUUUUUCUUGAUCAGCUCACCAUUUAAAGUAGGAAUACCUUUAGAGAUCACAAUAUCUGAAAACUCAAGAAGCGUUAUAGGAACAAAGAGAUUCCACCACCCACUGUCUGGCCGUUCCCUCCUGAGAUAUUGCACUACAUCCCAGCCUCGUUGGCUGCCACUCUACACACGCAGUCCUUCUCAAUCAAAAGCUGAGCAUUUAAAACCACUGUAACAUUUGGGAGUCCUGCAGCAUGUAUAGUGGGAUCUGAUAAAGGGAAGGCUACUGUGAACACACAAUGCAGACAGACGUAGAGGUUGUCAAAUGUCUUUGAGUCUGAAUUGAUACACAUGGCUAUCAGGUUUCCCUUAGGAAAAGGGGCAGUCUACAGCACCACAGAUAGUAAAUAGAAAGGGUUUUUUUAAGAAGGUAGGCAUUUUUUGAAUAUCUGCCACAAAACAAUAUUUUACUGCAUUUUUAAUAUGCAGGGUAAAAUACACCAACUAACAGUACCCAAAAUGCAAGGCUGUUCUUCAGAGAGUCUCUGUAUUUCAGUGUCUACAUUAAAUAUCGCAAUAAACCUGGACCAAUUUCAGUGUAUGUUACACUGCAUCAGCACUCGCAUACUCUAUAGCAUCCCAUCCUUUCUCAUAUGAUAAGAUCCAGAAAUCUGGACAGAUUUUUUUACUUGAGUGACUCCUUCCUCCUUUAGUGUUUCAGAAUUUGGAGGUAAUGUUGUCAUCAGGUCUUUAAAAAUGUAUCCACAGUCUUUUCAGGGACAGAGAUAACCAAAUUAAGAAUUGUAACUUAGCAAGACUACUACAGGGAAACAGAGGAACAAAGCUGUUGCCACAGCAGUAUUGCCGUAACUGUUGUUUCCUACAGCAUCCUUUGGCUGCCUUCCACUAAGUGCCCCUUGCCUGGCUCUUCCUCCUCAGUUGACCCACCUACAAAAUAUAUAUCUUCUGUUUCAUGGCCCUGCACGGGCUGUCUCCAUUCUAUGGUAUCUUCACAAGUCAUUAGUAUGACUUACGUAGCCAGGCUUGGUUCACAGGUUCAAUAGUGCAAGUCCUUUGAACUGCAUUCCUCAAGUCCACUAUUCAUCCCAUUAUCAGAUUGGUACUGAAUAAAGGCCAAGUGGAAAAUCCCAGUAUGAAAUGCACUCCUGCGGCUGACAUUCAUAUAAUGGCUAUGUAUAGAAAAGGUUUGGUAAGAGACCUCACUGUAUACUGCACUAUGUGAAUUGUUUGUGUUUAGUCCAGUUUGAAUGAUUUCUGGUAUGACAGGAUCAAAGUCUCACUUUUCAUAGGUAAACAUUUUAGAGGACUCAUAUAUCAAUGACAUAUAACUAGCCAGAAUCAGAACUACUUCUGCUUAGGCAGUUACCUUGGACAGAAAAACAUUCAGCCAGUGACUCAGACAUGAACUGGCUCCAGGCCUUAAAAUGACGAACAUUUGCUACACUGCCUAACUAUAGCGAUUACACAGCCGAGGUUGGGGAUUCAGGACAACAAAGCUACUUGAAGACGUUAGGAAGGUCCUCACUGCCUCUUGAGAAAAAAAACAACAAACAACUAAUUUUUAACAGUUUUAGAGC